rnacentral:lncRNA from 1 species
AAAGGUUGAAAGCAUAAUGGUGUAAAAAAUGGGAUGCUUACAAAUAAAUGAAAGUAUGUUGCUAUUUCAAUCAUGUGUUAACCUUUUCAUUUACUACUUAAUUUCUUGAACGUACUUUGCUUAUUCGGUUACAAACAGUUUUAUGAUGCACCAGUUAAUGGAUGUAAGAAAGGAUAGAAUGAAACAACGAUGCCAACCAGUUCCAUUAUUUGGAUUACUUAUUUGAUAAAACUUUAUGAUGCACCGGUUAAUGUUUUGAAUAUUGCAAUGGUCCAUGCCACCUCCUUCGCCCAAUCACUUCCUUUUCAUCGAAGAUUUCGUUUGUUGACUCUCUCAGCGGUUUCCCGUUUCCAUUCCUGGCUUCCUCUUCUCACCUCUUUGUUAGGUUACAUUUCCAUUUCAUUGCAACUCUCUCACCUCUAAUUUCUUUUCCCAUUUUGGUUUUCGAGUUGACUAGGACCAAUGAAUUGGAUGCUGAUUACAAAUAUCUGUUCUUUCACCUUUAAAAUCCACAAAAAAAUUUUCAUUUGUAUGUAAGGUCGAUUACUUCAAUUUGGUUGCUUUUUAUAGUUUGUUUUUUUAAAUGGGCUGUCAGUUUUUUGAAAUUUGAUUAAAAUAUGUUUAUUUGCAGGGUUUAAUGUUGAGAUGGAGAACAUAUAUUGAACAGGAUUAGAGAAGAAAUUAUGAAGGCAGCAGAUGAGUACAAUGGAUUCAGUUUGGUAAUUUCUUUUGACUUCGAUCGACUCUUUUUUUCUUUCUACCAACUCCAUCCGCUUUUUCUACUUUGUUUCCGAAAUUGGAACGUGCUCUUCUUAUUAGCUUCGCUCACCACAUGUUGGAUAAAAUGCCUUUGAGGCAUUCGCAACAAUUGUAACCAGGAAGAGCCCUCUCAAUGCGAUUCCCUGAAAUGUAUAAAGAUCAAGAUUGUUGAUUGUGGAAUGUUGAAUAACACCUUCUUUCACUUUUGAGAUUAGGUCAACUAAAUUAGAAUUCCGCUAUUAUGGGUAAAAGAGUAAGCACAUUGUUAUUUUCGACAAUUUUCCCUUCAACUAAUAUGAUGACGUGUUCCAUUUUAGAGGAAUAUGAUGUACUUUCCAUAUAUCAUGCAGGACCUACUCUCAUGAAUAAUAUGAAAUGGCAAAACAUUAGUAUCCUCAAAACACUACAUUUGUCCAUACAGCUAGCUCAGAAGCUGAUCAAAACCUACGUAAGACAUAAUCUAGACUGUUAAGGACAACCAAUAAAUGUAUCACAUUUACCAUAAUAUCCAUGUAUUUUCAAUUUAAUGAUACUUAUGUCUUUUGUUUGUUGUAGUAACCAACCAUUUUGGAAAUCAUUUGUACUACCCUCAAAUGUAAUGUAAAAACCUAUGAGUUUGAAUCAAAUCUUUCAGAAGGUUAUCAGCCCAUGCGGAGCAUGGGUCUCCCACUAGUUUAUAUUAAAAAUAUAUAAAUAAAAAGAAUUAUAUUAAUAUUAGUUUUUUUUUUUGUAGAGAAAAAUAAAUUAUAUAUUUCACUAUAUUUUAUUUGAGUUUUUACUAAAUAUAAAAAGUAAAUAUUAACUAAAUUAGAUUAAAAUUUAAAAGUAAAUUUAAAUCCACCUAUCUAAUAAGGACACUUGGCAACAUAAAAAAAAAUAAAAAUGCACAAACCUUUUGGUUAACGGUUCAUUGGGGCAGUCUACAUCACCAAAUAUGUUUUAUUUUUACUUUUCUUUUUAUAUUUUUUUGGUGAGAUAAUCUCAAAAGAUCACCAAUGAGGAUAGUCUAAUGAACCGGAGACUAUUGGGAUAUAUAAUCUUUUUCUUCUCUUCUAAUAAAACAGUACUAAAAUUGUCACCUGGCAUUCCCUUAGCCAC